rnacentral:lncRNA from 1 species
CCUGGUGAACCCUGAUCUCGGCCGGGUGCUCAGCUCUGGAGGGCUUGCAAAGUCCUGCAAGUGUCUGUGCAUGGAGAAGAUUUCCUCGGAGGUUACACACUUCCUCUUCCAAUCCCCUAGUUCCUUGGCGGAAACUUUCAGCCUGUGAUGGGAAGAGAAGGUUGCAGGCCUUGAGAAUGUCAUUAAGGAGAUGAUGUGGGGCUCCUUGGCAUCUGGCUUUCCAUUUUGUUGCCCCUUCUGCCCAAGUUCGUCAUUCAUGUGUGCCGGAACCAUUCAAGUGCUGCACGCUGACCCUGGAAAACUUCAUCCUUAGGGCAAGUAACACACCAACUGACAUUGACCGGCAAGCAGCCAGCUGUAGCCCAACCUGCCCUUGGAGAGACAGCAUUGAAACAAACUUACAGGAUUCAUAACAAGAGCUUCCUCCACAUAGUUUCUCCUGCUAUUUUCCUAAAAAUCUACAACCACCACCAUUCUUCCCCCACCCUUGCCCGCAAUUUCGGCUUAUACUGCUUAUUAAGAACUGAUGAAAAAUCUGAAUACAGUAAAAAUUGAAUCCAGACACACAGGACAAUCUCUGCAAAUUCUUUCCCCUCCUUUUGUCCUGCUCUUGUUUUAGACUGUUUCGUAAAUGUAUUUCUUAAAUGUACUUUGUAAAUCUUUGAAAACAAUUAACAUUGUCUGAAAUACUUCAGAGUGAAUAAAACAUGCAGUAUCAUACCAUGAUCUUGGCUAGUUUUGUGUAUGAUAUGAAAAGCCAAGUGCCAGGCAGCUUUAGCUCCAGUUAGCAGUUGAACUUCAAGUUUUAGUGUAUUUCUUUUUUUGUAAACUCUGAUUGCCACCACCAAUGCCCCCACCUGGUUUUUGAAGAGCCAAAAUUACUAGAUUCUGAUAUUUUUCAGGUAUUAUGGGCCCGAAUUAUAAAGUGGCUUCCUUGUUAAU